GCUGGGCAUGGUGGCACAUGCCUAUAAUCCCAGCAGCUCAGGAGGCUGAGGCGGGAGGAUUGUGAGUUCAAAGCCAGCCUCAA
rnacentral:sRNA from 1 species